UGGGGAAUAUUGCACAAUGGGGGAAACCCUGAUGCAGCGACGCCGCGUGGAGGAAGAAGGUCUUCGGAUUGUAAACUCCUGUUGUUGGGGAAGAUAAUGACGGUACCCAACAAGGAAGUGACGGCUAACUACGUGCCAGCAGCCGCGGUAAAACGUAGGUCACAAGCGUUGUCCGGAAUUACUGGGUGUAAAGGGAGCGCAGGCGGGAAGACAAGUUGGAAGUGAAAUCUAUGGGCUCAACCCAUAAACUGCUUUCAAAACUGUUUUUCUUGAGUAGUGCAGAGGUAGGCGGAAUUCCCGGUGUAGCGGUGGAAUGCGUAGAUAUCGGGAGGAACACCAGUGGCGAAGGCGGCCUACUGGGCACCAACUGACGCUGAGGCUCGAAAGUGUGGGUAGCAAACAGGAUUAGAUACCCUGGUAGUCCACACCGUAAACGAUGAUUACUAGGUGUUGGAGGAUUGACCCCUUCAGUGCCGCAGUUAACACAAUAAGUAAUCCACCUGGGGAGUACGACCGCAAGGUUGAAACUCAAAGGAAUUGACGGGGGCCCGCACAAGCAGUGGAGUAUGUGGUUUAAUUCGACGCAACGCGAAGAACCUUACCAAGUCUUGACAUCCCUUGACAGACAUAGAAAUAUGUAUUCUCUUCGGAGCAAGGAGACAGGUGGUGCAUGGUUGUCGUCAGCUCGUGUCGUGAGAUGUUGGGUUAAGUCCCGCAACGAGCGCAACCCUUAUGGUCAGUUACUACGCAAGAGGACUCUGGCCAGACUGCCGUUGACAAAACGGAGGAAGGUGGGGAUGACGUCAAAUCAUCAUGCCCUUUAUGACUUGGGCUACACACGUACUACAAUGGCGUUAAACAAAGAGAAGCAAGACCGCGAGGUGGAGCAAAACUCAGAAACAACGUCCCAGUUCGGACUGCAGGCUGCAACUCGCCUGCACGAAGUCGGAAUUGCUAGUAAUCGUGGAUCAGCAUGCCACGGUGAAUACGUUCCC
rnacentral:rRNA from 1 species